rnacentral:rRNA from 1 species
AGGAAAUAGAUACCCGGGUAGUCCAUGCCGUAAACUAUGGAUACUAGCUGUUGGGGGUAUCGACCUCUCCAGUAGCGAAAGCUAAACGCGUUAAGUAUCCCGCCUGUGGAGUACGAUCGCAAGAUUAAAACAUAAAGGAAUUGACGGGGACCCGCACAAGCGGUGGAGCGUGUUCUUAAAUUCGAUGCUAAACGAAGAACCUUACCAGGGCUUGACAUCCCUUGAAUUACUCCGAAAGGAGUGAGUGCUUUAUUGAGCAAGGUGACAGGUGAUGCAUGGCCGUCGUCAGCUCGUGUCGUGAGAUGUUUGGUUAAGUCCAUCAACGAGCGCAACCCUUAUACUUAGUUGUAUUUUUCUAGGUAGACUGCCCCGGUAACGGGGAGAAGGGGGGAGUGAUGUCAGGUCAGUAUUUCCCUUACGUCCUGGGCGUA